GACGAACGCUGGCGGCGCGCUUAACACAUGCAAGUCGAGCGAAGCGGCGGACGGGUGAGUAACACGUGAGUAACCUGCCUUAGACAUUGGGAUAGCCUCGGGAAACCGGGAUUAAUACCAAAUGGUCUAAGAUGGACUCGCGUCCCAUUAGCUAGUUGGUGGGUAACGGCCCACCAAGGCGACGAUGGGUAGCCGGCCUGGGAGGAGGAACGGCAACAUUGGAAGUGAGGAGCAGUCCAAACUCUACGGAAGGCAGCAGUGGGGGAUAUUGCACAAUGGGGGGAACUAUGAUGCAGCGACGCCGCGUGAACGAAGAAGGCUUUCGAGUCGUAAAGUUCUUUUAUAUGGGAAGCGGUACCAUAAGAAAAAGCCCCGGCUAACUACGUGCCAGCAGCCGCGGUAAUUC
rnacentral:rRNA from 1 species